GCAUUAAUGGGGUAGUGGUAACCUGGGUCGUUGCCAUGAGAUGAAACCAUUGCUGAAAGAUGAUCUCGACCCGCCGGGGGUUCGAUUCCCUCUUAAUGCA
rnacentral:tRNA from 1 species